rnacentral:rRNA from 1 species
AAUAUUGCGCAAUGGAGGGAACUCUGACGCAGCGACGCCGCGUGAGCGAUGAAGGUUUUCGGAUAGUAAAGCUCUGUCCUUGGGGCAGAAGGCGGCCAUGUAUGGCCACUUGACGGUACCCAAGGAGGAAGCCCCGGCUAACUACGUUCCAGCAGCCGCGGUAAUACGUAGGGGGCAAGCGUUGUCCGGAAUUAUUGGGCGUAAAGCGCGCGCAGGCGGUUUCUUAUGUCUGGUGUGAAAGCCCGCAGCUCAACUGCGGAGGGCCACUGGAAACUGGGAGACUUGAGUGUAGGAGAGGAGAGCGGAAUUCCACGUGUAGCGGUGAAAUGCGUAGAUAUGUGGAGGAACACCCGUGGCGAAAGCGGCUCUCUGGCCUAUAACUGACGCUGAGGCGCGAAAGCGUGGGGAGCGAAC